UUCACACUUAAAACUGUUAUAGCUUCUAAGCUAUCUAACCUACCACUAAAAAUCAAAUGUAUACUGAUAGACACACAUUUAAGCUUAAUUUAAACCAACCUCAUAUGUAUUGAAACAUUUUUUAACACAUUUUCAAGUGUGAAAGGUGCUCUCUGGUUUAUUUAAGCUGGGAGCCACUGUACAUAUGCACAUAUUUAUAUAAAAACACCAUGUGGACUCUCAGCCGCUCUCCCGCGCUCUGUGAAAACUGAGAAGAGAACAUUUGCGUGAGUGUGUGCUUGUGGAUGGGUUUCAAUCUGAACAGCACAGGAUAGAACCCCUUCUCAUCGUGCUCUUUAUAAAGAUCAUGGACAGGUAUUUAAGAAAGGUGAAUUAGUACAAGUCAAUUGAAAGCAAACCGAGUUCAAAUUACGAAUUGUUUCUUAAUAAAUAUGGUGGGUCUGGUUUCUUUUGACAAGCCCAAGUUGUGGUUUGGUUCGGGAUUGAAUAACAAUCACCGUCAACUGAUCGGUAUGUGUCCACUUCAGAAGUUUUCCAUAGAACCGAAACGAGCCGUUUUGCAUCAAUGGAUCCUCUUGGUCGACCAGGUCUAUCGCCAAAUCUGGCACAUGCUGUCGUGGGAGGCUCAUUUCCCCCAGAUGGAACCUUAUCAGCUCAGACACGUCCUAAGCGCCACAUCCAUUUCCUGUGGCGUGGGUUUCCCUCAAUGUGAAUGAACACACUCGUGUGCAUACGUGGAAUGAUUGCAUUUAUGUAAGAUAAUUGUAUUUUGUGUGUUGCAAUAUAAAAUACUUAAAGCAUUCGAAUGUUUGAGGGAAGUAACACAGGGAUUGAUAUCAAUAUCCUAGCACUAGGACAAGAUCACAGUGCUCAUCUAAGUGUUACCUCCAUAUGACAGGUUUAAAUUUUGAAUGAAGAUUACUAAUCCUAAAGUUAUGUACACUUGUGUUAAUUCGACUCAUAUAAAUAAAUCACGAUAAUCACACUCUAAAACGCUCAACAGUUUCGUUGAG